rnacentral:lncRNA from 1 species
CUGUUUGAAUGGUUUUACACUAUUAAUUGUUGGAUCCUUUAUAGCUUGUUGUUCGGUGUGAGCCAAGGUACCUUGUUGAAGGCCGUACAUUGAACUAUAACGGUUUACUUUUUUAAUUUGUUAUUUGGAUGGAGAGUUGUCUCAUUGGCACUCACACCCCAUCUUCCUAUAUCUAUUUUUUUUUAAAAUACACCUAAUAAAACGAACAUAUCUGAAAUAAACACAAUUUCGAAUUGAACAC